rnacentral:rRNA from 1 species
GUGGGGAAUAUUGGACAAUGGGCGCAAGCCUGAUCCAGCCAUGCCGCGUGAGUGAUGAAGGCCUUAGGGUUGUAAAGCUCUUUCAGUGGGGACGAUAAUGACGGUACCCACAGAAGAAGCCCCGGCUAACUUCGUGCCAGCAGCCGCGGUAAUACGAAGGGGGCUAGCGUUGUUCGGAUUUACUGGGCGUAAAGCGCACGUAGGCGGAUCGUUAAGUGGGGGGUGAAAUCCUGGAGCUCAACUCCAGAACUGCCUUCGAUACUGGCGAUCUUGAGUGAGGAAGAGGUGAGUGGAACUCCUAGUGUAGAGGUGGAAGUCGUAGAUAUUAGGAAGAACACCAGUGGCGAAGGCGGCUCACUGGUCCGGUACUGACGCUGAGGUGCGAAAGCGUGGGGAGCAAACAGGAUUAGAAACCCCGGUAGUCC